rnacentral:tRNA from 1 species
GCCUGGGUGGCUCAGUCGGUUAAGCGUCCGACUUCGGCUCAGGUCAUGAUCUUGCGGUCCGUGGGUUCGAGCCCUGCCUCGGGCU